rnacentral:rRNA from 1 species
UAAGUAGGCGGUGGAAAAUGAACCAAAUGGGAUUCCUUAAGUAAUUGCGAAUGAACAAGGAAAUGCUCAGCUUGAAAAAUGGGGCCUUUGGCUUUGAAUUGUAAUUUUGAAAUGUAUUGCCAAUGGAGGCGCAGGUGCAAGCCUAUUGAAAGAAAGCGUCAAUGAGGGUGAGAUUCCUUUUUGUCAUUUGCAGUCCUCCGUGCACGGUAUAUAUUUGACGAGUCACACUCCUCGGCAUUGGAAUGCAAAGUGGGUGGUAAAUUCCAUGUAAAGGUAAAUAUAUUAUUGAGACUGAUAGCAAACAAGUACCAUGAGGGAAAUAUGAAAAGGACUUUGAAAAGAGAAUUAAAAGAGUCUGCAUUUGCUGAACAGAAAGCAAACAGAAUUGAUUUUACUUGGUGAGAUUGUUGUGCUUACUCUAUCAUUUAUAUGGUUGAUGUGGGUGCGAUGGUUCUUACCUUGAAUGUCAGCUUCUAUUUCUGCAAAUCAUUACCCUUGCACAUGAAUGGUAAUUUGCCUGCGGGUAUUGGAAUGCAUGUGUUUGCAAUGAUUUGUGAUUUGACGCAUGUGUUUGGUGAAAUUUGUAUAUGCUCUUUUGUCGAAGGGGAAAGCUUACUUUUUUGAGCAUUGCAAGCCCUUACAC